GGGGCCAUGGGGUAACGGCAGCCUAGCAGGCUCCAGACCUGCGGACGUGGGUUCGACUCCCACUGGCCCCA
rnacentral:tRNA from 1 species